rnacentral:rRNA from 1 species
AACGAACGCUGGCGGCAUGCCUAACACAUGCAAGUCGAACGAGAUCUUCGGGUCUAGUGGCGCACGGGUGCGUAACGCGUGGGAAUCUGCCCUUUGGUUCGGAAUAACAGUUGGAAACGACUGCUAAUACCGGAUGAUGACGAAAGUCCAAAGAUUUAUCGCCAGAGGAUGAGCCCGCGUAGGAUUAGCUAGUUGGUGUGGUAAAGGCGCACCAAGGCGACGAUCCUUAGCUGGUCUGAGAGGAUGAUCAGCCACACUGGGACUGAGAAACGGCCGAGCGUCCUACGGGAGGCAGCAGUGGGGAAUAUUGGACAAUGGGCGAAAGCCUGAUCCAGCAAUGCCGCGUGAGGGAUGAAGGCCUUAGGGUUGUAAAGCUCUUUUACCCGGGAUGAUAAUGACAGUACCGGGAGAAUAAGCUCCGGCUAACUCCGUGCCAGCCGCCGCCGUAA